UCCAAACCAGUGAAACCCUGGGCUGUUGAAGUGGAGCAUGUGAACUUAACCACUCGGCCACGGGGCUGGCCCCCCUGAUUUUUUGAAGCAGUCCUAGGUAUUGUUUCAUUUCAUCCAUAAAUAUUUUAGUAUGUAUCUCUAAAAGAUAAAGACUUGAAAAAAGAAAAACUGAACUGCAUUAUGAUUAUCACACCUGAAAAAAAUGAAUGUUUCCCUCAAUAUUAUUAAGUAUUCAGUGUUGAAAUUUCCCCAGUGGUCGUCUUCUUUUUUUUUUAAUGGUUCAAAUCAGGAUUCAAAUGAGAUCCAUAUGUUGAAAUAGACUGAUGUAUCUUUAAAAUUAAUUUAUGGGUACCCCCCCUUUUUUUUUCCUUGCAAUUUAUUUGGUGAAGUGGGUGGUUUGUCCCAUAGAGUUUUCCAGUCUGGAUAGUACUGAUUGCAUCUCUCUGGUGUCAUUUAACAUGUGCUACUAUCUAUUCUUGACAUACUUUUGUUCCUAAUGAUUUUUCAUUUUGGAGAAUAAAAGGAAUUUAUUUUCUUUAUUAGAAAACGAGGAAAAGCAUAAAAAAGAAAAUUUAAAAGUCAUCCAUAAUCCCACCAGCUAGAGAUAGCCACUGCUGUCACUUCAGGUUUAUCUUCCAGAUUUAUCUGGUCCUGCUUAGUUUCAUUUAAUACAUCAUGAGUUUUCCUCAUACCAUUAAAAAGUCUUCAGUAACAGUUUAUGAGGCGUGUCAUUGUGUUAAUGAUACUUCCCUCCUUCCCUUAAGUUGCCCCCAGCUGAGGAGUUUGUUUUAAAUAGUUGGCUCAGCAGUUGCCCCAGAGGAGGACCCGUUGUUGCAAACAGAGCAGUGAAUAUUUGUAUGCAUCUGUCAUUAUCUGCACUGCUGCUGAUAGAUUCCUAGAAGUAGGUUUAUUGGGUCAAAAGCCAGGUCUCUUGGUAAAUUUCUGAUACAGUUGUCAUAUUGCCAGAGUCCCCUAGAAUGGUAAUCUGUGGCACGUUCCACCCCAGCCCUGGGCAGCCUCUGAAAGCUUUUCUUCACACAAGCACAGCUUUGAAUGAGGCCUUGACUUAAAAGUUCCUUCAAAGCAAAAAAUUAGACUUUGAGUCUGCUGGUUCCCCCAUUGAUGCGUUUGUGCACUAGACGAUAUUGUGAGUAGUGAAGGAAAAAAGGAGCAUCGUGAGUGUUUUCACACCGUCUGCUUAGCAACCGUCUGCUUAGCAGCGUCGAGAGCCGAGAGCCGAUGUCAUCCCAGUGUCAUGGGGAACUGGGCAGCCCUGCCUUGUGAGCCCUCCAGCCCCUGGGUGGUGACCUCUCUGCCCCAUACAGUCUCUGAGGGAGUUUCUGCUUCCUGUGGAAAUAGGUUCGAUAAGGCCUCUGCCUCAUGGGUUCAGGAAUAAAGAAAUAGCAUUCACUCUGAAAAGAGGGACUAGCUAGAAGACCUGACGUGGCGUCUGACUCCUAGUCAGAGUGUCACCUGGCCUCAGGUAGCUCCUCCUCUUUCUCCCUUGCUGCCUGGACAGUUUCACUUCCCUUUUUUAACUCCAGGGGACAUUUCUCCCGCUGAGAAACUCCUUUGGGUUAGUAUCUUUUGCGGACCCAAGUAUUGUCACACUAUUCACCCGUGGUUGUGAAUUCGUUAGUUGGGUUGUUUCCUGCUUAACACUUGGCUGAGAAGACGGGAGGGGAGAUGUUUUGGAGAGGGGGCGCCUCUCCAAGUCAGGUGCGCGCUGGGGCCAGGGGUUUGGGAGCAACCUGAGGGAAGGCGAAGCAACGGAGGAGAAGGUGCAAAAGCCACAUUAAGUUGUCUUUGCUGAGAGUUGGCACAGUGUUUUUAGAAGCCAAGUUGUGUUUCAGAUGUCCUGGAGUUGGCUCUUGGCUAGGGAUCCCCAUCACUUUGUCAUGUGAAUUUGUUACAUUAUGAAUUUCUAAGGAGGUUUUCCUGGGCCAGCCUGGUGGUGUUAAUUUCUCAGUUCCAAAGGUUUCAGAGAGGCCGGUUCUUAAGUCAGAGACUGCCUCUGAAGAUGUUGGGCCUCUGCUUCCCCAGGGAAUCCAAGCAGUGGCUUUCUGGAACAUUUUUCCUGUGAGAUUUCAGCUUAGAGUGGCCUUCUCUAAGUCAAGGUUGACUCUUGGUGGAAUGUGCUAGGUUCCAUGCUGAGUACUUUACAUGUGGUAUCUUAUGGACUCUUGAGAACAUCUGGAAAGUAAACAGUAUUAACUUCAUUUUACAGAUGAGAACAUUGAGCAUAGAACGAUACAGUGACUUGAGCCAGCGAUGCAGUCAGUGGGGAAGCUGGAGUUUGUGUCUCGAAGGCUCACGGUCUUUCCCUCAUUGGUGUCAUCCUUGCCCGUUUGGUACCCUUCUUCAUUCUUCUUGUCCCUUUAAGACUUCCUCUCAGGGUCCCAGGACAUUCUCCUCCCCACCCCACCGUGAUUGCCCUGUAUCUCCUUACCAAAGUGUGCUUUCAGCGAACUCUCCUGGAAGAAAAUGUCACCACUGAUUCACUUACAGGUAUUAAUGCCUGCUGAGGCGUGCAGCAGCUCGUGCCUCCCGGAGCUGUGUGCACGUCUGACAGUGCACGAUGCCCUGAGCCAGCAGAAGGGUGGGCUUCCAGGCAUUGUGAGGAAGCAGCUGGGAGGUCCUUUAGGUAUUGAGCAUGGGGAUCCGCUCACAUCUUACAGCGUGGUUGGCUGUCGCUCCCCACCCAGCCCUUAGAAACAAUUCUAAGUUAAAGAUAUUGCAUAAUUUAAUCUUUGCCUCAGCCUUAGGAGGUAAAUUCUCAGGCCCCUGUUUUACAGAUAGUGGAAGCCGCCCCAGAGAGGUGCCAAGCUCUUGACAUAUUUUAUCAGUUGACUGUCAGCAAAUCUCUGAUGUCUGCAGUCCUUCCUUCGUCUGACAGAUGCUAGAGUUGUAGACCACAGAGGAGGGCAGUGUUAUGUGUCAGCUUCCAUCUGAUAAGAAGAAGGGAUGGUUCAAGAUCUCUACAAAGCUUCUGCUGUCUCUGAUAUCCUUCUUGGUGAAGCCUUGGAUGCUCAAACCUGUGCUGAGGCCAACAUUGAGGCACCCAGCACCCUGCAUUUUUGUUGUUAAUUUACAGGCCUGUCUUUGUCUAGACUAAAAUGAGCUAAAAUCUACAUAGUAACUAUAUCUUACUCGUUUUCUCAUUUAUACUGGUUAUUCAGUACCUGUUUAAAGAACAUGUGUAGCUCAUUAAAUAUUCGUUGAUUGAAUAUAUCAGUCAUUCAGUGAUGUCUUCCUCCAAGUAGGGGUCAGCCUGAGACUAGAGGAGCCCCUCAGAGUGACAUAUUUAUUCAGCAGCUGGGGCCUCAGAGAAGGAAACUGCUGGUACCAGGACUCCACCUCCCCUCUCUUGACCUAAGCAGUUCUGCUCUGGCCGUAAACUUGCAUACCUCACUCAGCCAAACAAGGGCCCUGCAGGUGGUGAGCUCACCUUUCUUGGAGAAGGCAGCUUGGUGACUUAUGUUGCUAAUCUGACGUGCCCCAUGGAGCUCUCACCAUCUUAUACUGAGAAGUUAUCACUAUAUUAUUCCUCCCAGCUACAUGUGGAACGCGUCUCAAAGGGAGUAGUAGGGUAUAUUUUUCUCCAUGUAGUUACUUUACAAGUGUAUUUUAGUGCUCCAUUUACAUUUGUGCCCUGAGUGCUGGUCCCGCUGGCAUACCCUGGUUUUGGGUCGGUUCCAAGCAGUUAGAGCAGGGUACCCGGACGCACUGCAGUGUGUGUCUUUGUUUCUGUUUACCUGAGUUUCUUUCUGCAGGGACUCCCAGCGUGUCUGCUCGCAGCCUAGCACCAGUCACGUGAACAGUUGGGUCACAACACAGAUGUAGAAUGAACGAAUGUGAGUGUAUGUUGCUCGAGAGCAUUGGUCUGCAUCCCGGUUUUUGUUAGCACAUCAGUGCAAGGAAGUUGAUCUGAUUAGCUGUGAGGCACCUUGGGGAGACCCUGAGGAGAAGAGAGAGACCAUAAGGAGGAGGUCUGUAGUGGCUCUCAUUCUAGAUGGUUCCAGUAGGGAGGGAGCAGCUUCUAGAGCCUCUGCCAUAGUAUCUUGAGGGAGAGGAAGGAGUUUUUUGCAUUUCUGUAGUUCUUUCCCAUUUAUAGUGGUUGGUUGGGCUCUCUCUCUCCAUCUCCCACCUUUUGUCUCUCUUUUCUUUUCUGACCCUGGUUGCAUUGUGUGUAGUUGUUGUCCUGUUAACUGAGGGGUAAAUUCUAGGACCUGUGCAGAGGCAAAUAGCUUUAGUAGUAGAGCUGGAACUUAAACUCUCUUCUCCUGACCCUCAACUUGGUUCUCCUCCGUUACUCCUGGACUAAAAGCCAGGCGGCAGAGCAGACCACUAUGGUGCCCCCACCCCCGAGCCCGCAUGCCAGGAGUGCCAUUGACGCAGUGGGGAAUGCUCUGACCACUGAAUCAUUUCCCUGGAGCUGGCUUUGUGAGUUAAGUUUGCUCCCCUUUGUUUAGUUGCUGGUGGCUUCUAUAUGGGUGAUUUUUUCCAGAAGAAUAUGACUGUUCUUAUUUGUUUUUAAGAGCCAGUGAUUUCACCUUAGAAACAUUGUGGACUUUUCCUGUUCUGGUGCCAAAUUGUGGACUUUGAUAAACAGAGAAGCUGUGUAUUUUGUGUUUGCAUUGGCUCUUAAAAAAACCCAUCAUCUUUGAUAACAUUUUUAAGCCAUCCACAGGGCGUUUUUCAAGCCCCUUACAGUAAGAGGGAAGUUCCCCAUAAUAGUCCAUUUAUUGCAUUAUUAAUUUCAGUUGAGUGCUAUUUAAUUAUUGAUGUUUUAUUGAAGGCUGGUUUGGCCAACAGAAGCGAGUGGCUUGACUGGGAAGAGAUCCUUUAGUCCCUAAUGCUAGGCCCGAACAUCAGGGCACUGUUACCUGCGAGCUCAGUGACUAGCUCUAAGAGUCAGUUGUAAGCUAGGGUUUUGCUGAAAUCCUCCAGCUGUUUUCUUAUGGUGAGAUGUGAGAAGACUUUCGCCUCUAACUGGAGCUGUUUGAUGGAGAAGUAGUUCCUCUUAAAUGUUCUCUGGUGGUUUCAUUUGGGUUUUAACAUCAUUCUAGCUCUUCUUCUUGGUCUAAUGUCUGGUUUGGCUGCAGAGUAAAAUUUCCCUUUCUGCCUCACUAGCAUCUUUUACUGAGGUUGUAAAUAGGUACCUUUGUUUUUUUUGUAACUAAUUUUGAAAUGAGGACUGUCAAAAAGUGCAGUGCUUCCCCUUGGUUGGCUUUACGAUGCUUCUCCCAAAUCAUAAGAGUGUAGGUUUUAAUGUUGAUUCCAUUCUUCCUGCCUCCCUCUUUAUUAUUUCUCUUAAAUACCUUAUUUGGUACAUAGGAGCCAUUCGUCAUGUAUUAUUUCCUUUAGUUUGCUGCCUUGUCUUUAUGUAACUUGCUUUGUGUUUCAUAGACUUAGGCCGGUGUUUCUCAAACUUUAAUGUGCAUACACUUCACCUGGGAGUUUGUAAAAAUGCUGGUUCUGAGUUAGUCGGUUUUGGGUCAGGCUCAGUAUUGUGCAUUUCUGACAAGCUCUCAAAUGAUGCCGCUCCUGCCAGUCCACAGACCACACUGAAUAGCACGGAUGAGACUUGUUGAUCUACAGCCUUAAACGCACUCUCGUAGGUGUGCACACAUACACUCCUUUGUUUAACUUGGCCUUCUUGUCCUCUACUGUGAUUAUUAAGUGUGAGGCAAGAAUCACUGCCUUGGAUUGGUUGACCAUUCAUUCUUUCAGUAAACAUUAUCUUGGGUCAUACAAUUGGGAGGCCUGAUGGUUUUCUGAGGGCUGUUUCUGAGGCUUCUUUCUGCGGUAUUUUCAUCCCAGGUGUCCAUCUGUGGUGGGCAGUGAUUGGAUGGUAUUUAGAUUCAGGUGGUCUCCAUUGCAUGCAGCUUGCUCCCAUCCUGGGCCUCCAUUCCCCAUGUCUCACUUGGAAAUCUUGUUUCCCAGUAAUCAUACUUCAUAAUCAUUCAGGUGCCUACAGUUUGCAUGUUUUUUAACAUACUGAAAACUUACUGCAAAUUAUUGGACUGACUCAGCAGCACCAUAAAAGUAAUAAUUUCACUAACCCCUUGUUUAGGCUCAUAGUUGCAGAGUAGUUAAUCAUGAUGUAUUCCCGGGGCUUUCCCAGGAGCUGCAUUUCCCAUCUGACCUCUGAGGUCUCUCCCUGACCAGAGAGCCCCAGGCGUCACCAGUUGGGUGGCAUGGGGAACACAGCCUCAGCAGCAGGGGCUGCUGUACCCUUCAGCAACCACGAAGGGCAAAGUCAGGCCCAGAAUCUGCCCCCCAACUCUUUCUUUCCAUCUCUCUUUCCACUUGGGUGUUGUAUACUCUCCAGACACUGUUGAUUUCUGGAUUUGGAUCCAAUCUUUCCGUAUUCCAAUACACAUGAGUAGGGCGAUUCCUGUCAUUCACUGUGCCAGUUCUGAGUAGAAGACAGUGUGACCAACCGGGGUUUGACCCUGAGGGACCUGGGUUUGGAUCCUGGCUGUGUCGCUCUUUAUUUGUCAGAUUACUAUACCUCUCUGUGCCUCAGUUUCUCCAAGCCUUGGUUUCUCCAUUUGUAAAAUGGGGAUCAUAUACUGACCUCAUAGACAGUGAGGAUGAAAGGAAUUAGUCUGUUUAAAUGCCUGGUGGAGGGUCUGCUUCAUGAUAGGCCUCCAAUUAAUGCUCAUUCUGGUGGUGAUGAAGAUGACCAGUGUCAUCAAACGGAAAGGAAGGGAACCCAACCCGAGAGAAUAGUUGGGGGAGAUCUUGCUCAUGGCAGGGGAGCAAGUGAUGGACAGGAAGUGUGCAUUAGCUCUCUGGACCCCGGUUCACUCUGAAGGGAGGAGAGAAGAAAUCAGUCAUCUUUAUGCUUGUGUAAAUGACAGCAGUGUGACCAAAGAAGAUUUUGGAAACGAGAAUGAGCACAGGAAGGUAGUGAGGGCAAGGAGGGAGGCUUGAUGUUCUGAAAGGGAGGUGCGAAGAUCUGGGAUGUGCUUGGAUGAUCUAAAGGGAAAGUUUAUUAGUGACAAAAGGACUUUGUUAGUAGGGUGGUUGUUCUUAAUCACAUUGCUGUUUUAUCUUAGUAGAUGGAGAACUGUUGGUAUUUGAGAGAGAGGCCCAGUUUUUCCAGAGUCUGAAAAGGGAUUUUUGUUGAUGUUGUAGUAUAAAAAGUGCUCUGUGAUAGGGUACGGGGCUGCCAAAAGUGUGAAAGGAACAGGAAAGCGCCACACACAUGAAAUAUAAUGGAUCUUUCAUUCAUUUUUGUGUUUUGUUUCCCCCAAAUUGUUAAAUAAAAGUUUAUUUUGGUCACAUGCUACAGCCAGAAGUAAUUUUUAAGCCAUCAGAGUGGUUGUGAGGAAUUGGAAUAGUAUCAAGAUAACUGUCUUUGCUUCAUUGUGUGAAGUUCUAUUCAAGUUUGGUUACUUGUCUUGUGAUUUAAAAUCUAAAAAUAGGGCCAUCCUGGUUGCAUAGUGAUUAAGCUCAGCACGCUCUGCUUUGGCGGCUGGGGUUUGUGGGUUCAGAUCCCAGACGCAGACCUAGCACUGCUUGUGAAGCCAUGGUGUGGCGGCAUCCCACAUAAAAUAGACAAAGGUUGGCACAGAUGUUAGCUCAGCGACAGUCUUCCUCACAAAAAAAAAGAAAAGAAAAGUAAAAAACAGACCAUAUAUGUUGUCUCCUGAACUCUACCUGAAUUGGAGCCUCCUUGGGGAGGCUGAGGUUUGCAGAAGACUUGAGUAGUGAAUGCCCGAAGAGCUGGAGUUUCGCGAUAGCGUUUCAUCAAGUGUUGUUCUUUUUCCGUUACCUGAGAAAUCUACUUGAUACACCCGAUUUUUGUUACCUGGAAAUGAAGGUGUAACUCUUUAUUUGUGGGCCUCAGCAACUUUCUAUGGAUUAUGGGAUAAUGUCUCUUCCACUUUGCAGCCAAACGUAGAGUCUUCUGCUCCUUUGCCCUCCUUUCCUGCUGCCUGAAGGAGCAGGAGCAACUUGAAAGCAUCUUGCUGUUUCUCAUCUCCCCGCCUUUCCCCGUAGCACAUGAGCGCCUGCUCGUCCUUCUGGACUGAGCUCAGAUGUCACACCGCCUUUCCUAACUUCUCUGUCCUUGUUCAUGCCUGGCCCACACCUGUGGUGCUCCGUGGGUCCUGCUCAUGGCUGUGGAUGCCUUCUGUGGUCUCAGCUUCCAUAGUACAGCACCAUGCUUGUCACAUGAUGGGCCCUGCAGAAAUAGUGCUGAAUGAAUAAAUACAUCUAGUUGUCUGUGAUAGAGUUUCGUUGUAUCCAUACGAUCAGCAAAAAUAUUAAUCUUUUGGUAUUGUGACAUUGGCUGUAAACCUUUCUGCUUCAGAAAGGGAAAUACCAUGUCAUAGUGUUUGUAAAAAUUUUAAUAGUCAUGCCUGUUUAUUGUAGAAAUAAGGAAGGAAAUCAAAAUCACCUGUAAUCCCAUCAUCUCAAGACAAAGUUGACAUUUUGAUGUAUAAUUCUUUGGAAAAUCACCUUUUAAGUAAUCCAGUUGGUUUGGAUGGGGGGAAGUGCUUAAGGAGGUGAG